rnacentral:RNase_P_RNA from 1 species
CAUCGAGGGGAGGAAAGUCCGGGCAACACAGAGCGCCACGCAAGCUAACGACUUGAUAUCCGUGAGGGUAUAGCAAGUGUAACAGAAAACGACCGCCCGCAAGGGUAAGGGUGAAAAGGCGGGGUAAGAGCCCACCGCGGAGGUAGUGAUACGCUCCGGUCCGUACAUCUCGUGGGUUGCAAGACCAUGUAUACCGGCAAUUAAGGGUUGCUCGCCCAAUGCCGGGGGGUAGGUUGCUUGAGGCGUCGGGAGACCGGCGUCCUAGAUAAAUGAUGGAGACUCCGGGCAACCGGAGUACAGAACCCGGCUUACAGGA